GAUGAACGCUGGCGGCGUGCCUAAUACAUGCAAGUCGAGCGAACGGACGAGAAGCUUGCUUCUCUGAUGUUAGCGGCGGACGGGUGAGUAACACGCGGAUAACCUACCUAUAAGACUGGGAUAACUUCGGGAAACCGGAGCUAAUACCGGAUAAUAUUUUGAACCGCAUGGUUCAAAAGUGAAAGACGGUCUUGCUGUCACUUAUAGAUGGAUCCGCGCUGCAUUAGCUAGUUGGUAAGGAAACGGCUUACCAAGGCAACGAUGCAUAGCCGACCUGAGAGGGUGAUCGGCCACACUGGAACUGAGACACGGUCCAGACUCCUACGGGAGGCAGCAGUAGGGAAUCUUCCGCAAUGGGCGAAAGCCUGACGGAGCAACGCCGCGUGAGUGAUGAAGGUCUUCGGAUCGUAAAACUCUGUUAUUAGGGAAGAACAUAUGUGUAAGUAACUGUGCACAUCUUGACGGUACCUAAUCAGAAAGCCACGGCUAACUACGUG
rnacentral:rRNA from 1 species